GGGUGGUAAUGCCGGAUGUUCCACAUGAUCGCAUGUGAUUGUGGGAAAGAUUCUAUCGGCGUGGGAUGGGGUCGCGUCCUAUCAGCUUGUUGGUGAGGUAACGGCUCACCAAGGCUUCGACGGGUAGCCGGCCUGAGAGGGCGACCGGCCACAUUGGGACUGAGAUACGGCCCAGACUCCUACGGGAGGCAGCAGUGGGGAAUAUUGCACAAUGGGCGCAAGCCUGAUGCAGCGACGCCGCGUGAGGGAUGGAGGCCUUCGGGUUGUAAACCUCUUUUGUUUGGGAGCAAGCCUUCGGGUGAGUGUACCUUUCGAAUAAGCGCCGGCUAACUACGUGCCAGCAGCCGCGGUAAUACGUAGGGCGCAAGCGUUAUCCGGAUUUAUUGGGCGUAAAGGGCUCGUAGGCGGCUCGUCGCGUCCGGUGUGAAAGUCCAUCGCUUAACGGUGGAUCUGCGCCGGGUACGGGCGGGCUGGAGUGCGGUAGGGGAGACUGGAAUUCCCGGUGUAACGGUGGAAUGUGUAGAUAUCGGAAAAGAAACACC
rnacentral:rRNA from 1 species